CGCGUAGGCGGUUCGUUAAGUCGAAUGUGAAAACUCUGGGCUCAACCCAGAGCCUGCAUCCGAAACUGGCGAGCUAGAGUUCUGGAGGGGGUAGCGGAAUUCCUGGUGUAGCGGUGAAAUGCGUAGAUAUCAGGAGGGACACCGGUGGCGAAGGCGGCUACCUGGACAGAAACUGACGCUGAGGCGCGAAAGCUAGGGGAGCAAACA
rnacentral:rRNA from 1 species